rnacentral:rRNA from 1 species
GACGAACGCUGGCGGCGUGCCUAAUACAUGCAAGUUGAGCGCUGAAGGUUGGUACUUGUACCAACUGGAUGAGCAGCGAACGGGUGAGUAGCGCGUGGGGAAUCUGCCUUUGAGCGGGGGACAACAUUUGGAAACGAAUGCUAAUACCGCAUAAAAACUUUAAACACAAGUUUUAAGUUUGAAAGGUGCAAUUGCAUCACUCAAAGAUGAUCCCGCGUUGUAUUAGCUAGUUGGUGAGGUAAAGGCUCACCAAGGCGAUGAUACAUAGCCGGCCUGAGAGGGUGAUCGGCCACAUUGGGACUGAGACACGGCCCAAACUCCUACGGGAGGCAGCAGUAGGGAAUCUUCGGCAAUGGACGAAAGUCUGACCGAGCAACGCCGCGUGAGUGAAGAAGGUUUUCGGAUCGUAAAACUCUGUUGGUAGAGAAGAACGUUGGUGAGAGUGGAAAGCUCAUCAAGUGACGGUAACUACCCAGAAAGGGACGGCUAACUACGUG